UUGUUCCAGCUGGUCUUGAACUCCUGACGUCAUGAUCCGCCUGCCUCGGCCUCCCAAAGCGCUGAGAUUACAGGUGUUAGCCACUGCUCCUAACCCUCUUGAUACUUUUUUAUGGUAUUAUUUGCAGCCUAAGAGUUUUAAGUUUCAAUACAUAAAGCCCACUUUAUGUAUUUUUUUUCUCAUUACUUUUGCUUUUGGUGUUAUGUCUUUUUCCUUGUAUUUUAAAAUGGUAUUUAUUUCUGUAAGCCUCUUCGGACCCUUUUUGAGAUCUAAGCCAGACAUAAAAAUAAACCUUGCCAUAAAAUGGUGGCAUUGACUCUGUCUCAGCGUCAUCGUGGCAGUGAAUUCAGUAGUAAAUUUCCUGCGUUGAGGCUGCAGUGGAGGUGGAGAGCUGACACUGCAGGGGAGCAGCGUGCAGGUGAGUGGCUCUGUGAGGGCAGCUCCCAUGGUGCCUGGAGGAAUCCCGAAUCUGUACACAUGUAAUCUCCGCUCCACGUGUGCACUGGGCUGGGCAGCAGGAACCUGGAGCAAGGUCAGCCCUUGAAGCUGCAGAGAACAGAAGCACAGCAAUGUUGGUGACAUUCAGGGGUCUAACCAGGCCGCCUUGCUGAGGGCCUGCGGGGUAGCAGAUACCCUGGGCCAGUCAAACAAAGACGGAAUGGGAGUUCAUUUAUUUUAUGAGCUAAACAGACAAGUGUUAGCUAGCCAGGGAAGUUUGCCAAUAUACCAUCAUUUCUGUGAGAAAAUGAGCCCUAAAUUCUAAACCAUCCCUAAGUUGGGGAUUAUCUGUCUUAAUGUAUGAGUGUUCUUAGUAGCUGUUCCCUUAUUUGGGAGUCAGUGUGUAUGUGUGUGUACACUUUUAUGUUGUGUGUAUAACAGAUAGGCAUGUGUGUGUAUAUAUAACGUGUUUCUCCAUUGAGCCCCGGUUCCUGCAGCCACUUACUGAGCCUGCCUGUGGCCAUCUCUGUCCCAGGUUGCUGCAGGAAGGCAGCCUUUCCUUAGGAUGCCACCUCCAGAAAGACUCAACUCCAUCCACAUCAGGGGCUGCUGAGCUCACGGCGUGGCCGAUGAUCCAGUUGUGAAUUAUUCACAUCCUUUGUUUCCUUCCCUUUCAGCCUCACAUGUGGCCCUUUCACAGCUCAUUAGUUUUGUUUUAACGACAGGGAAGGAGAGAGGAAUGGGGAGAAACUGAAUUCAGUUUGGUUGAAUCUUUGAGAUAAAGGGGUGAAUACCAGUUGGAAUGGCAUUUCUUAAAUCAUCUGGGGAUUUCAUGUGUUGAUCUUGUUGCUUAUUCUCAUAGAUAAUUGAUUUGGUAGUUGUAAGUUUUUAAACACAGUGAAUGCAUGCACAUGUUGUGGUUUUUUUUUUAUUAACAAAAAGGAAUGAAACAAAAUGUGGGGACCUUUUCUCCCUAACACCUUCUCAGCCCUAGACUCUGCAGAGAAAGAGGUUUACCUCUCUGAUAAGUUUCUUGUGGAACUCUUCUUUUUUAAGUUUGUAUAUCCAAAUAUUUAGUUAAAAAUACAUAGAUGGGAUCGUAUUAUACACAGUGUUCUUUAUCUUGUUUCUCCUUUUUUUUCUUAAGGUAUGUUGCAUGAAGGUGUUUCCUCAUCAGCAGCUCAAACUCACAGCAUUCCCCUUGGAGUUACAAAGUGUUUCUUUAUAGGAAUGGCCAUGACUCAUUUUAGUCUGCCCUCUCUUGAUGGACAGCUAAGUAGUUUGAAGUUGUUUUUGCCAUUAUGCACAAUGCUCAGCGAAACUUUUGGGUAAAUAUCUGUUUUCUGUGCUUUCGCAAGUUUGUAUAGAUGGACUAUGAUGUUUGCCAUUAAACCAUGUAUGUAAAACACAGUUUACAGUGAUCCUCAGCUGGGCUGUGGAAUCCUGAGAUCUUUGGACCAUAGGGUUGUUCUUUUUGUGUGGUUUGUGCAGCCUGGCAGGAAGAGCUUGUGUUUAGAUUAUGAGAGGAUAUUUGAGCAUCAAGUUAGCAAAGAACGUAAAUGUUGUUCAUUUCAGGUGGCAGCUGGCAGAGGGUCCCCAGCUCAGGGGUGGGCACUGCAUGGUGUUGUAUGCUGGUGUUCUUUUGUGGGCAGGACACCUACAUGAAGGCUAUGGCUGAAGAAAUGGGUGGGGAGGAGUGACUGUUGACAGCUCCCUGGGCGCAGCCAAAAUUGGGUCAGAAUUGGGCAAAUUGCAGAUCAAGCUUAAAAACAGAAACCCAGCUGGGGGCAAGUACUGAGUCCAGGGCUCUAAGUGACUAACGCAGAAAUGAUGUUGUUGAGUUUACCUCCAGUCAGAGUGAAACUUGGGGCAGCCCAUCCUCUCUGGCAGCUGUCCUCCAGGGGAAAUGAGAAUUGACCCAAGCCACAGGUGACCAUGACCGGACCUUGCACUGGCUGAGACCAGAGGGUUUAGGAAAUUAGAUGAGAAAUGAAGCAAGAGAUGGUUCUCUUUUGACAGCCAAGUCCUGCAAUGGAAUGUAGACAUUUGAACGAAGCCUAAGGAAUGUCUAAAAGUGUUUGUAGAAAUUUUUCUCAUCUGCUUGCACUUGCUUUUU